UCCGGGAAACCGGUUUUAAUACCGAAUAGUUUAUCCUCCCUCAUGGGCGGAUACGGAAAGACGGUUUCGGCUGUCACUGCAGGAUUGGCCCGCGGCGCAUUUAGCUAGUUGGUGGGGUAACGGCCCACCAAGGCCACGAUGCGUAGCCGACCUGAGAGGGUGAUCUGCCACACUGGGACUGAGACACGGCCCAGACUCCUACGGGAGGCAGCAGUAGGGAAUCUUCCGCAAUGGACGCAAGUCUGAUGGAGCAA
rnacentral:rRNA from 1 species